rnacentral:rRNA from 1 species
CCCUGAUGCACAAGGUACCUUUUGAGGACUAUUUAAAUUUUAAAAUUAUAAAAUUUUUCAAUUUUCCUUUUCAGUGAAUAAAAUAAAAUUUUCUUUAAAAAAUACAAAUUUUAAUAUAAUUUUUGUUUUUAAUUCUUUUUAAAAAAUUUUUUAAAAAAU